GGCCGGUGGGGUGUGUCUAUUCGUGCAGUCGAGCGAACAGAAGGGAGCUUGCUCCCGGAUGUUAGCGGCGGACGGGUGAGUAACACGUGGGUAACCUGCCUGUAAGACUGGGAUAACUCCGGGAAACCGGAGCUAAUACCGGAUAGUUCCUUGAACCGCAUGGUUCAAGGAUGAAAGACGGUUUCGGCUGUCACUUACAGAUGGACCCGCGGCGCAUUAGCUAGUUGGUGGGGUAAUGGCUCACCAAGGCGACGAUGCGUAGCCGACCUGAGAGGGUGAUCGGCCACACUGGGACUGAGACACGGCCCAGACUCCUACGGGAGGCAGCAGUAGGGAAUCUUCCGCAAUGGACGAAAGUCUGACGGAGCAACGCCGCGUGAGUGAUGAAGGUUUUCGGAUCGUAAAGCUCUGUUGUUAGGGAAGAACAAGUGCGAGAGUAACUGCUCGCACCUUGACGGUACCUAACCAGAAAGCCACGGCUAACUACGUGCCAGCAGCCGCGGUAAUACGUAGGUGGCAAGCGUUGUCCGGAAUUAUUGGGCGUAAAGGGCUCGCAGGCGGUUUCUUAAGUCUGAUGUGAAAGCCCCCGGCUCAACCGGGGAGGGUCAUUGGAAACUGGGAAACUUGAGUGCAGAAGAGGAGAGUGGAAUUCCACGUGUAGCGGUGAAAUGCGUAGAGAUGUGGAGGAACACCAGUGGCGAAGGCGACUCUCUGGUCUGUAACUGACGCUGAGGAGCGAAAGCGUGGGGAGCGAACAGGAUUAGAUACCCUGGUAGUCCACGCCGUAAACGAUGAGUGCUAAGUGUUAGGGGGUUUCCGCCCCUUAGUGCUGCAGCUAACGCAUUAAGCACUCCGCCUGGGGAGUACGGUCGCAAGACUGAAACUCAAAGGAAUUGACGGGGGCCCGCACAAGCGGUGGAGCAUGUGGUUUAAUUCGAAGCAACGCGAAGAACCUUACCAGGUCUUGACAUCCUCUGACAACCCUAGAGAUAGGGCUUUCCCUUCGGGGACGGAGUGACAGGUGGUGCAGGGUUUUCGUCAGCUCCGGUCGUGAGAUGUUGGGUUAAGUCCCGCAACGAGGGCAACCCUUGAUCUUAAUUGCCAGCAUUUAGUUGGGCACUCUAAGGUGACUGCCGGUGACAAACCGGAGGAAGGUGGGGAUGACGUCAAAUCAUAAGGCCCCUUAAAGACUGGGGUCAACCAGGGUCUAAAAUGGACAAAAAAAAGGGUUCGGAAACCCCCGGGUUUAGCCUUCCCCAAAAUCUUUUUCUUUGGUAGGAACGGGAUUCGACAUUUUUGG
rnacentral:rRNA from 2 species